rnacentral:rRNA from 1 species
UAAUUGAAGAGUUUGAUCAUGGCUCAGAUUGAACGCUGGCGGCAGGCCUAACACAUGCAAGUCGAACGGUAGCACAGAGAGCUUGCUCUUGGGUGACGAGUGGCGGACGGGUGAGUAAUGUCUGGGAAACUGCCCGAUGGAGGGGGAUAACUACUGGAAACGGUAGCUAAUACCGCAUAACGUCUACGGACCAAAGUGGGGGACCUUCGGGCCUCACACCAUCGGAUGUGCCCAGAUGGGAUUAGCUGGUAGGUGAGGUAACGGCUCACCUAGGCGACGAUCCCUAGCUGGUCUGAGAGGAUGACCAGCCACACUGGAACUGAGACACGGUCCAGACUCCUACGGGAGGCAGCAGUGGGGAAUAUUGCACAAUGGGCGCAAGCCUGAUG